CCUUGACCAUGCCACUGUACUCCAGCCUGUGUGACAGUAAGACCUUGUCUAAAAACAAAAAAGAAUCCAGAGUGCUAAAGCUGAAAGAGACACAAUUAGCUGUCCAGAGCCCUCCUUUGGCCAUUGAGGACAACUUGGUUAAACGUUUUCUCUGAGGUCACAGACAGGGUUUGGGCUGUACCCAGUUUCCUGCAGCCUCAUUCCUGCCGUCGCCACGGCCGGCGAGGACGCAGGCACAAGGACUCUAAGUGCCUUGCCCUCAGACUUCAGCAGAGCCGUGGCGAAGCUGCACAGUCCUCGGGGUGGCUUCAAGCUGGAGAAGGAAUAAACCCGAGAGAUGCAGCCGCCUUCCUGUGAGGACAGGACACUCUGAGAAUACUGAAUGGUCUGUAGGGUCAGAGAAGCCUUCCAAGAGAAGUAACUUUGAAAGGAAGAUGUGGAAGAUGAAAAAAAGGCAGCACAGGAAAGGGAGCAGGCAGGGCUGUCCAUGGCUGGCCGGACUUCAGGAGGACCCAGGAAGCUCUGGGAACACGGGACCGAGUGGCAGCAGAUCUUGUUGGAAUGAACCUUGAGAGCCUAUCACAGCAGGGAGGUAGCGUAACCAGAAGGUGCCUGCUUCUCCUUCCACCAUGACUGUAAC